GGGCUUACGGCACGGUGCCGUCUGGCUGGCAGCCAGAAGGUCAUCGGUUCAAGUCCGUUAUCCUCCA
rnacentral:tRNA from 1 species